GUUGCAUAAUGCAAUAUUUGUAUUAGAUCAAUUAUCAAUCAAAUUGAUAAUCAAAUCCUGUUAUGAUUCAUAAUCAUAAUUCAACCAUCUGAUCAUCAAAAGCCUUUUUGUGUGUGAUCCCAUAAGUUUUAUUCUGUCUGAUAGUGAGAUAUAUUGUGAUCUCUAUCACAAUAUCAUUGAAACUCUUUUCAAUGGGUUGGAACAAUUUCAACUCAGCCC
rnacentral:lncRNA from 1 species